GGAGAAGCCAAACCCCAGGGUAAACCCCACUUCUCAAAGCUGGCUCCAGCUGCUCCCAAACCUGAGAUCCUGAAUUAGAUAAAAGGAAGAAGGCAGAUGGCUGGAUGGCCUUUUGUUAACUUCUGACUCUGUCCAAAUAAAAGUCUCAUCUUUUCCUACAAAAUCUGCCUGAAGUCUCCCACAUUUGGGUUGUCUGUACAUCAUCACUGUGCCUUCAAUGUAGAAGACAGAUGCAGAAUCUUUCUCCAACUAGAUACCCACC